rnacentral:rRNA from 1 species
UACGGAGGGUGCAAGCGUUGUUCGGAAUCACUGGGCGUAAAGCGCGUGUAGGCGGCUAUCUAAGUCUGAUGUGAAAGCCCUGGGCUCAACUCAGGAAGUGCAUUGGAUACUGGAUAGCUGGAGUACCGGAGAGGAGGGUGGAAUUCCUGGUGUAGCGGUGAAAUGCGUAGAUAUUGGGAGGAACACCAGUGGCGAAGGCGGCUACCUGGACCGGUUCUGACGCUGAUGCGCGAAAGCGUGGGGAGCAAACAGG